rnacentral:lncRNA from 1 species
GGAAAGGUCACCUGAUAAGGCGCCUGGCUCCUGCAUAAUCUGGGCCGCUGCUCGCUCGCAUGCUCAGCUCAGUCAUUUGCUCUCUCCACGUCAUGUCUCGCUCAGCUCAGUCAGUUGUUCUCUCUAAAUAAUGUCUCGCUCAGCUCAGUCAGUUGCUCUCUCCAGGUAAUGUCUCGCUCAGCUCAGUCAGUUGCUCCCUCCACGUCAUGUCUCGCUCAGCUCAGUCAGUUGCUCCUUCAGCGUCUCGCUCAGCUCGGUCAGUUGCUCCCUCCACGUCUCGCUCAGCUCAGUCAGUUGCUCCUUCAGUGUCUCGCUCAGCUCAGUCAGUUGCUCCUUCAGCGUCUCGCUCAGCUCGGUCAGUUGCUCCCUCCACGUCUCGCUCAGCUUGGCUUAGGCUAUACAGGCCCUGUGCUGUAUCUGGAGGUGGUAAUGCUGUCCACUAAUGGUGACCAACCCUGGCCCUGGAGAGCUACUGUAGUGGGUUAUGGAUGGUUUUUUCCCGUAUUUUCUUCAGCCCAGCGCUAACACACCGGAUUCAACUCCUCAAGACCCUCUCCACCAUGAGAUAAUUAGCUAACUUGUUUGUUAGUGCUGGGCUGGAACAAAAAGGCUGCACAACCUGUUGCUCUCCAGGACAACAAUAUCGGUGACCACUGGCAUAGGCCUUGAAUCUGUCUGUCCAGCUCUGAUAGGACAGUAGGUCAUCUUUAGAGUCACCAGGCUUCCACUCGGCACUCUGUGGGGCUUGCCCAUUAUUUCUUCCCCCUAAUCCUAGAGAAGAAGUAAAUUACCUCAUUUGAUGAGUUAUGAUGAGGCCUCCUCAUUCAUUCAAAUCUCAAUGAGAUUAGCACACUCUGUAAUUGAUGAAUUUGAGGGAAUUUUCAAAGGAUUCGCGAGGAUUGCAACGGCUCCGGGGUUCUUUGUGUUUAACACAUUUAUUGAGUUCUAGAAAUUAGACAAUCCCGGGGAGAGCAAUGAAUAAUGUACGCUGGCAACAUUUUUUACUGAAGAGAAGUGACUUAUCGUGAUCAUUUCUGUUUCUUUAUAAUGGAAUUGAGAGGAACCAUGACUAUGCUGUGUCACCACUCAGGGAAGACACACUAGCCCUGGCAGAGUGUGUGUGUGUGUGUGUGUGUGUGUGUGUGUGUGUGUGUGUGUGUGUGUGUGUGUGUGUGUGUGUGUGUGUGUGUGUGUGUGUGUGUGUGUGUGUGUGUGUGCCCGCUUAGCCUAUGUGUUCUCUUAGCCUAUGUGUUCUGUUAGGCUAUGUGUUCUGUUAGCCUAUGUGUUCUGUUAGCCUAUGUGUUCUCUUAGCCUAUGUGUUCUCUUAGCCUAUGUGUUCUCUUAGCCUAUGUGUUUUGUUAGGCUAUGUGUUCUGUUAGCCUAUGUGUUCUGUUAGCCUAUGUGUUCUCUUAGCCUAUGUGUUCUCUUAGCCUAUGUGUUCUGUUAGCCUAUGUGUUCUCUUAGCCUAUGUGUUCUUUUAGCCUAUGUGUUCUCUUAGCCUAUGUGUUCUUUUAGCCUAUGUGUUCUCUUAGCCUAUGUGUUCUUUUAGCCUAUGUGUUCUCUUAGCCUAUGUGUUCUUUUAGCCUAUGUGUUCUCUUAGCCUAUGUGUUCUGUUAGCCUAUGUCUUCUCUUAGCCUAUGUGUUCUGUUACCCUAUGUGUUCUGUUAGCCUAUGUGUUCUCUUAGCCUAUGUGUUCUCUUAGCCUAUGUGUUCUGUUACCCUAUGUGUUCUCUUAGCCUAUGUGUUCUCUUAGCCUAUGUGUUCUGUUAGCCUAUGUGUUCUAUUAGCCUAUGUGUUCUGUUACCCUAUGUGUUCUCUUAGCCUAUGUGUUCUCUUAGCCUAUGUGUUCUGUUAGCCUAUGUGUUCUAUUAGCCUAUGUGUUCUGUUAGCCUAUGUGUUCUGUUAGCCUAUGUGUUCUGUUAGCCUAUGUGUUCUGUUAGGCUAUGUGUUCUCUUAGCCUAUGUGUUCUGUUAGCCUAUGUGUUCUGUUAGGCUAUGUGUUCUGUUAGGCUAUGUGUUCUGUUAGGCUGUGUUCUGUUAGCCUAUGUGUUCUGUUAGCCUAUGUGUUCUGUUAGCCUAUGUGUUCUCUUAGCCUAUGUGUUCUGUUAGCCUAUGUGUGUGCGCUACCCUGUGAGUGUUUACAGGGCCCUAUACGUACAGUACCCGUCAAAAGUUUGGACACACCUACUCAUUCCAGGGUUUUCUUUAUUUUUACAGUAGAAUAAUAGUGAACACAUCAAAACUAUAAAAUAACACAUAUGGAAUCAUGUAGUAACAAAAAAGUGUUAAACAAAUCAAAAUAUAUUUUCUAUUUUCGAAACUUCAAAGUAGCCACCCUUUGCUUGAUGACAGCUUUAGACAUUCUUUCAACCAGCUUCAUGAGAUAGUCACCUGGCAUGCAUUUCAAUUAACAGGUGUGCCUUUUUAAAAGUGUGUGCCUUUUAAAACAUUUGUGGCAUUUAUUUCCUUAAUGCGUUUGAGCCAAUCAGUUGUGUUGUGACAAGGUGUUCUUAGUGUGGUGCCAGGAAAAUAACCUCUCACUCAACGUCAACAAAACAAAGGAGAUGAUCGUGGACUUCAGGAGGGAGCACCCCCCUAUCCACAUCGACGGGACCGCAGUGGAGAAGGUGAAAGAUUCAAUUUCCUCGUCAUACACAUCACUGACAAUCUGAAAUGGUCCACUCACACAGACAGUGUGUUGGAGAAGGCGCAACAGAGCCUCUUCAACCUCAGGAAGCUGAAGAAAUUUGGCUUGUCACCUUAAACCUUCACAAACUUUUACAGGUGCACAACUGAGAGCAUCCUGUCAGGUUGUAUAACCGCUUGGUACGGCAACUGCACCGCCUGCAACUGCAGGGCUUUCCAGAGGGUGGUGAGGUCUGCCCAACACAUCACCGGGGGCCUCCAGGACACCUAUGUCACAGCACCCGAUGUCACAGUGUUACGGAUACAGGUAUCCUGUGUGAGUAUCCUGUGUGUGUGUUUCUUUUCUCUCCUUCUCCCCUCACAGGUGACAAUCAUCAUUCCCCAAUCAGUCACCAACCAAGACACCUGCUCCUUUUCCCUCAACCAAUCACAUCCCCUUGGUUUAAAACCCAGUCAGUAGUUUUCUCAACAGUUCAAUCUCUCUCUCUGUAGCUUGAUCUCUCUGUGUCAUUCAAACUCUCGCUCUCUCUCUAUGGAUUGAUCUCCCUUUUGUUUUUGCAACUACAUGUCACUUUGUCCAUCAGCCUGUGAGUAUUGUUUUUGUUAAAGUGUUGACUGUUUGUUUGAUGGUGGGAAAAAGGGGUACCAAGACAAGUCACCCAUGGGCAUACAAUACCCGUAGGAAUACUUUAUCUAAGUACACUAGUUAGAACUGGGCGGACCACCAACUGUAUUUUAUUGGUUAGUUAGCUAGCUGUGCUUGAAGCAGGUAGUCUAGCUUAGGGGUGUUUUUGAAUACUUAUUAUUUCUUUCCUUGGGUCUAGCUCAGCCCCUUUUCCCUCCCCCCUUUACCAUGUGUUUAAGCAAUAAACCAAUAGAGUUUGACCGUAAAUUUAAGUGGUAUGCGUUUAUUAGUUCUCACUGUUUCUUUUCACUAUUAUGAUUUGCAUGAGUUAUGUUACGGGUCUCGUUUCCACCUCCCCUAGACUGCAGGACCAAAGGGAUUCGUAACACACAGGAAGGCAAAAAAGAUAAUCAAGGACAACAACCACCCAAGCCACUGCCUGUUCACCCUGCUAUCAUCCAGAAGGCAGCCGGCCGCACAUACUGGGUUUGUCUGCAGCCGUUUGUCCAGCCCUGUUUGGAUCAGCAUGCCAUGGGCGCAGCCCACGCUCCACAAACCCUCCGCCUGUUGGCAGUUGGCUCACACACACACAGAAGCAUGCACAAACACACAUAUGAAUGUACAUAGGCA